rnacentral:rRNA from 1 species
AGCGCAGGCGGGACUGCAAGUUGGAUGUGAAAUACCGUGGCUUAACCACGGAACUGCAUCCAAAACUGUAGUUCUUGAGUGAAGUAGAGGCAAGCGGAAUUCCGAGUGUAGCGGUGAAAUGCGUAGAUAUUCGGAGGAACACCAGUGGCGAAGGCGGCUUGCUGGGCUUUAACUGACGCCGAGGCUCGAAAGUGUGGGGAGCAAACA